AGGAUGACUACUUUCCGGGGUCAUUUAUAUAGUGUCACACUAGAAAAGGAUACUUGGAUGUAAUUGGUUGAGUGAACCAGGAGGUGUCAAAGUGUUCUCCUUUGAGUGGAAAGGCAGUGGGCGGCAGCAUUGCAUUUGUGCAUCUGCUGCUUGCUGUUGAUGACUGUUCUGCCCUCUUGUUAGAGGAUUGGUGGGAGAUAACACAGACUGAGAGAG